UACGUAGGGUGCGAGCGUUGUCCGGAAUUAUUGGGCGUAAAGAGCUCGUAGGCGGCUUGUCGCGUCGGAUGUGAAAGCCCGGGGCUUAACUCCGGGUCGGCAUUCGAUACGGGCAGGCUAGAGUUCGGUAGGGGAGACUGGAAUUCCUGGUGUAGCGGUGAAAUGCGCAGAUAUCAGGAGGAACACCGGUGGCGAAGGCGGGUCUCUGGGCCGAUACUGACGCUGAGGAGCGAAAGCGUGGGGAGCGAACAGG
rnacentral:rRNA from 1 species